CGCCCGUCACACCAUGGGAGCUGGUAAUACCCAAAGUCGGUUUGCUAACCUCGGAGGCGACCGCCUAAGGUAGGACUGGUGACUGGGGUGAAGUCGUAACAAGGUAUCCCUACGAGAACGUGGGGAUGGAUCACCUCCUUUCUACGGAGUACAACUUCUGUUAUGGAAUAAUAUUUGUAUCCAGUUUUGAGAGUACUAACUCUCUUUUUGUUCUUUGAAAACUGAAUAUCGACAUUGAAAAAUUAUUAAUUAAUAUUUCAAAGUUUAGAUCAACCUAUAGAAUACAAAAAUAUAGACAACAAUAGGUCAUACAACAAACAUAACAAAACAACUAUUAAACAAGAUAAGAGUUUUUGGUGAAUGCCUUGGGUCUGGAAGUCGAAGAAGGACGUGAUUACCUGCGAUAAGCCUCGGUUAGCUGGAUAUAAGCUGUGAUCCGGGGAUUUCCGAAUGGGGAAACCCAAUUAAGUUAAUCCUUAAUUAUCGUAUCGAUGAAUUCAUAGUCGAACGAAGAGACACGCUGUGAAUUGAAACAUCUCAGUAGCAGCAGGAAGAGAAAAUAAAGAAUGAUUCCCUCAGUAGUGGCGAGCGAACGGGGAAGAGCCCAAACCAGCACUUGUUGCUGGGGUUGUAGGACUGCUUACACGAAGUUACAAAAUUUGCAUAUAGCAGAAUAAGUUGGAAUGCUUAAACAUAGAGGGUGAAAUUCCCGUAAGCGAAAUAUGUAAAUCUUCUAGCAGUAUCCUGAGUAGGGCGGGGCACGUGAAACCCUGUCUGAAUCUGCCGGGACCACCCGGUAAGGCUAAAUACUAACCAGACACCGAUAGUGAACUA
rnacentral:sRNA from 2 species